ensembl:lncRNA
CCUACCUCGACGGCCGCACCUCCCGGGUAACCUGGCGAGGAUCUGUGUCGGAACCUUGUCCUCUUACUACUGGAGUUCCUCAGGGGUGGCGGCACGGAUCUCUGCCUGUCUGACUGACAUCUCUCAGUGGAUGUCCGCCCACCAUCUGAAAAUCAACCCCGACAAGACUGAAAUACUAUUUCUGGGAAAAGAUUCUCCGACCCAGGACCUGACGGUCAACUUUGCCAACUUCGUGUUAACGCCCACUUUGACUGCUAGGAACCUCAACGUGACACUCGACAGCCAACUUUCCUUGACUCCCAACAUCACUGCGACAACACGAUCCUGUAGAUAUAUGCUGUACAACAUCAGGAGAAUACGUCCCCUUCUCACUCAGAAGGCAGCGCAGGUACUGAUUCAGGCUCUUGUCAUCUCCCGCCUGGACUACUGCAACUCCCUCCUGGCUCAUCCAGAAUGCAGCAGCUCGACUGGUCUUCAACCUUCCGAAAUUCUCCCACACUACUCCACUCCUCCGCUCUCUUCACUGGCUACCGGUGGCCGCCCGCAUCCAGUUCAAAACAUUGGUGCUCACGUACCAUGCUGUGAAUGGAUCGGGUCCAGCUUACAUGCAGCACAUGGUCAAACCCUACAUCCCAACCCGCACUCUCCGCUCUGCAUCUGCAAAACUACUCGUCCCUCCCUCACUGAGAGCAAAACACUCGACAAGAUCACGACUCUUUGCUGUCCUUGCUCCGAAAUGGUGGAACGAGCUCUCUGAAGACACCAGGACCGCAGAGAGCCUUCACAUCUUUCGCCGCAAACUAAAGACACAUCUCUUCAGACUCUACCUCGACUAAAGACUAACAAAUUGUAGCACUUAAAUUGUACUUGUAACGUCACUCAUCUAUAGCAAAUUGUAAAUUGGCUUAUUUGAUAAAAAUGCACUUUCUUGUUUCUUGUUCUUCUGAGUUUGUACCCUAUGGUUGAAUGCACUUAUUGUACG